rnacentral:rRNA from 1 species
ACACGGGCCAGACUUUUACGGGAGGCAGCAGUGGGGAAUCUUGCACAAUGGGGGAAACCCUGAUGCAGAGACGCCGCGUGAGCGAUGAAGCCCUUCGGGGUGUAAAGCUCUUUCGUCAGGGAAGAUAGUGACGGUACCUGGAGAAGCAGCUGCGGCUAACUACGUGCCAGCAGCCGCGGUAAUACGUAGGCAGCAAGCGUUGUUCGGAGUUACUGGGCGUAAAGGGUGUGUAGGCGGUUCUUUAAGUUCGCUGUGAAAUCUCCCGGCUUAACCGGGAGGGUGCGGUGAAUACUGAGGGACUAGAGUACGGGAGAGGAAAGUGGAAUUCCUGGUGUAGCGGUGAAAUGCGUAGAUAUCAGGAGGAACACCGGUGGUGUAGACGGCUUUCUGGACCGUAACUGACGCUGAGACACGAAAGCGUGGGUAGCAAACAGGAUUAGAUACCCUGGUAGUCCACGCCCUAAACGAUGGAUGCUAGCCGUUGGCCGGUUUACCGGUCAGUGGCGCAGCUAACGCAUUAAGCAUCCCGCCUGGGGAGUACGGUCGCAAGAUUAAAACUCAAAGGAAUUGACG